GGAGACCUUAGGCGGCGGCUCACUGAAGCAGAGACCUUAGGCGGCGGCUCACUGAUAGCUCUCUGGCUUCUGCUCAGAAUAUCUGACAAGAAUCACCUGAAGGGAGCAGCUGUUUACUUUGGAUCUGGUCAAGAGUUUGGUGCCUCCUAGUGAGGAAGGCGGAGUGUCGGGAACAUUGGGACAGCUGAGAUUUCCCCUUCUCCUGAAACCACCAGCCGCAUGGAUUGUGAUUCCACUCACGACCCUCGGGAGUAUGCAAUGCCUGUAUUUCCAGUAAGGUCCCCUUCAGAGAUGCCGGUGGCUGGCGCUACAACACUCAGCCCACACCAGCAGGGACUUAGUCAGUUUGGGCCACUAUCAUAAAGACCAAACGACUCAAGAGGAGCAGAAGUCUGUCCAUGCCUGCGCUGUGGGCUGAGCUCUGCGAUGGGAUCGCAACCAUGGAUGGGUUCUAGCAGGGCCCUCCCCAGGCCUCUGGCCCGGGACCCCGUCACUCAGCUCUCACAGUGGACAGCCAGGAUGAUUGCUUUGGCGUCCCCUCUGUAAGGACACAAAUUGCACUUGAAGGGUUUGUUCUCAUUACCUUUCACCUUCCAAAAUCCUUAUUUCCUAAGGUGAUCGGAGCAGCACUCAAGAUUUCAGAUACAAACAUUCAGAUUUUCAUUCUUCCUGUCUUCCUCAAAGCUAUAUCCUUCUCACACCCAGGAAGCUUCCCCACCCCAGCAGCCCCGAUUGUAUGAACUUACUCCAGAAUCAAUUCUAAAUCUCAAAUCCAAAGUUUUGUCUACUUAUUCAGAUAUGAGUGAGGCUGAACCAGGGGCAGAAUUCGUCUUCAGCUGUGAAUCCCUGGAACCAAACAAAUUAAGCACUUCCCAAAGAACAAGGGAAGGAUGGACAUGGGACACACAUUUCCAUUCCAAAAGACAGAAAAGAAGGAAGAGGUGAUGGGUUCUAAGAAGCUCCAAACCUAUCAAGGCAAAGUGAUGAGAACUUGAGAUGCUUCAAUUCUCAGAGAAUCAAGCUUGGCGGAACAAUGGCAUCACUUUUGCUUUCCUGGUGGUAUUUGGGCUGUAGUUCUCCAUGCAAUGGUUGCUUUCACAGAGGACUCCUGGUACCUUCCCUGCCCUUUGGAGCUGAGGAAGAAGCAUCUCUGGCCCCUGAACCCACGUGCACUGAGCUGGGGUGGGAAAAACCCUGGCAAGCACUCGAGCCUUUCCAGUCCUGGCCGGUCCUGAAGAUUUGCUUGUAGUUAAACCAUGCUCCGGUUUGGUGGUUAAAGUCUGUUGCCCUUUUCUGUUUCCUGUAGUUGUAACUGGCAGUGUUUCUGCUGGUCUGAUCUCAUCUUUUUUUCUAGGCUUUUGUUGAGAUGGUU